AUGCGUAGGAGCUUGUCACAGCGGCAACUCGCAGUUGAAGAGGAGCGGAGGGGCGACGACGGCCCUGCUUCGGCCGCGAGCUGGCGGAGGUCCACCUCAAGACGGCUCUGUUGGUCGUGGCAGCUCACCAUAGCAGAGGAGGCAAGGUCUCAGCUUAAGGCGGGUCAGCGGGUUAGCUCAGCGGCUCAAGUGAAGGCGGCUGACAGUGGGGAAACGCAGCAGGCGAUGGCCAACUAUCGUGGACGAUGGCUUGAGGGCGAAUGGCGACUCAUAGUGAGGCUGUGGAGGCAACGGCGCAGCCGGGUCGAGGCCCCUGGAGCGGCGGGUUACUACUGUAAUGGCGGAGAGGUGGCGACGGCGACUUCGACACGGAGCCAGCAUGACAGCGCAAAGGAAACCGCAAGAGGGUGGAGCUGCGGGCAAGCGGUGACCCAGUGGGUUGAAGCCAAUGCGGGGAGGACUCUGGCGAGGCUCAAGCAGCGACUCAGGGCAGCUCAAAGGCCAGAUGAAGGCGAGGCCGCAGCGGCGCAACACCGGUGA
rnacentral:rRNA from 1 species